rnacentral:rRNA from 1 species
UCCAGACUCCUACGGGAGGCAGCAGUGAGGAAUAUUGGUCAAUGGCCGAGAGGCUGAACCAGCCAAGUCGCGUGAGGGAAGACGGCCCUACGGGUUGUAAACCUCUUUUGUCGGGGAGCAAAGCGAGUCACGUGUGACUCAUUGAGAGUACCCGAAGAAAAAGCAUCGGCUAACUCCGUGCCAGCAGCCGCGGUAAUACGUAGGGAGCGAGCGUUGUCCGGAAUUACUGGGUGUAAAGGGAGUGUAGGCGGGAUGGUAAGUUAGGUGUGAAAUGCGGAGGCUCAACCUCCGAGCUGCACUUAAAACUGCUGUUCUUGAGUGAAGUAGAGGUUGGCGGAAUUCCCAGUGUAGCGGUGAAAUGCGUAGAUAUUGGGAGGAACAUCAGUGGCGAAGGCGGCCAACUGGGCUUUUACUGACGCUGAGGCUCGAAAGCGUGGGGAGCAAACAGGAUUAGAUACCCCCGUA